GAUGAACGCUAGCGGGAGGCUUAACACAUGCAAGUCGAGGGGAAUGAUAGCAAUAUCAGAGACCGGCGCACGGGUGAGUAACGCGUAUGCAACCUGCCCUUUACAGGGGGAUAGCCCGUCGAAAGGCGGAUUAAUACCCCAUAUACUGGGACCCUUGCAUGAGGGAUCCAGGAAAGCUUAGGCGGUAAAGGAUGGGCAUGCGUGACAUUAGCUAGUUGGUAGGGUAACGGCCUACCAAGGCGACGAUGUCUAGGGGUUCUGAGAGGAAGGUCCCCCACACUGGUACUGAGACACGGACCAGACUCCUACGGGAGGCAGCAGUGAGGAAUAUUGGUCAAUGGGCGCGAGCCUGAACCAGCCAUCCCGCGUGCAGGAAGACGGCCCUAUGGGUUGUAAACUGCUUUUGUGCAGGAAGAAAGUGCUCAUCGUGAUGGGUAUUGACGGUACUGCAUGAAUAAGCACCGGCUAACUCCGUGCCAGCCGCCGCCGUAAGAC
rnacentral:rRNA from 1 species